UACAGCCAUGUCACAUUGAAACACAGGUUCCAGUAUAAUCAUAGAAGUUAAGCAAUGUUGAGUUUGGUCAGUAGCUAGAUGGGUGACCACUUGGGCAUACCAGGUGCUGCAAGC